UACGAAGGGGCUAGCGUUGUUCGGAAUCACUGGGCGUAAAGGGCGCGUAGGCGGCUUUAUAAGUCGGGGGUGAAAGCCUGUGGCUCAACCACAGAAUUGCCUUCGAUACUGUAUGGCUUGAGACCGGAAGAGGUAAGUGGAACUGCGAGUGUAGAGGUGAAAUUCGUAGAUAUUCGCAAGAACACCAGUCGGCGAAGGCGGCUUACUGGUCCGGUUCUGGACG
rnacentral:rRNA from 1 species